rnacentral:rRNA from 1 species
UACGUAGGGGGCUAGCGUUGUCCGGAAUCAUUGGGCGUAAAGAGCGUGUAGGCGGCUCGAUAAGUCCGCUGUGAAAGUCCAGGGCUCAACCCUGGGAUGCCGGUGGAUACUGUCGGGCUCGAGUCCGGAAGAGGCGAGUGGAAUUCCUGGUGUAGCGGUGAAAUGCGCAGAUAUCAGGAGGAACACCGGUGGCGAAGGCGGAUCUCUGGGCCUUGCCUGACGCUGAGGCGCGAAAGCUAGGGGAGCGAACAGG